rnacentral:misc_RNA from 1 species
AAGUCGUAACAAGGUAUCCGUAGGUGAACCUGCGGAUGGAUCAUUAACACUUUUCCAAGUACCUACUAGUAAACAAACGUGGUCACCAAGCUUCCGCGACCGGAUCAAUGGAACCUACAAACGGCAGAGCCCGAAAGAUUCGUUUUUCAGGCUGUUCCACCGAUAGAAGCUUGUUGUUUCUGUUCGCAGAUUCAACGAUGUCUUGAGAGUGACACUAAAAACUCUUCCGGAUUUUCGGAUCCGCAGUUUCACUGCUGCUGUUUUGUAUUGUCUUCUUUACGAUUUGUAACUUCUUGUCUGAUUUAAGGGUUGGUCCGAAAGGAUUUCAACUUUAUUUUCGCGUAAUUUCUAUACAACUGUUAGCAACGGAUAUCUUGGUUCUC